rnacentral:rRNA from 1 species
CGUGAAAUUGUUGAAAGGGAAGCGCUUGCCAUCAGAACGGGCGCCGGUCGAUCAACGUUCCUUCUGGUUCGUGCACUCGGCCGGCUGCCCUGCCAGCAUCGGUUGUCGCGGCGGGAGAAAGGCGGCGGGGAAGUGGCUCCCCUCGGGGAGUGUUAUAGCCCGCUGUGCCAUGCCGCCAGCUGACGACCGAGGACCGCGGUUUUACCAAGGAUGCUGGCCUAAUGGUUGUAAGCGACCCGUCUUGAAACACGG